ensembl:lncRNA
GGGGGGAAGUAGCACCCAAGCCAAGGCCUCGUGGAAGCAGGGGCAUCUCAGAGAUCAUCUCCGGUAACGGGGGCUUGACUUCGUGAUGAGUGAAAGAAUCCAGGCCUGAUCACUGGGACCCGGGAGAAGUCGGACUGAAACAAAAGAGGAGCCUGAGGGCGGCGGCGGAGGACUCAGAACAGUCUAGCACCCAAGGCCAACACAGAAGCUGGCUGAGGCAGGCCCUCUGUGCCUGCGAGGGCAGUGUCCUUGGCCAUGUGUCCUGGGAGAGAAAAAAGCGGGUCUUAGAGUGGGCCUUAGAGUCUUAGGAGCUCUUAGACUUCCCUGCUGGCUCAGACGGUAAAGCGUCUGUCUACAAUGCAGGAGACCUGGGUUCGAUCCCUGGGUCGGGAAGUUCCCU